GUCGAGUGAAACGAGGCUGCGAUCUUUUGAUCUUGUUUUUCAAAAAGACAAGAUCAAAAGAUCGCAGCCUCGUUUCACUCGAC
rnacentral:misc_RNA from 1 species